GAAGUGGAGCGAGGCUGGAAGCAAGUGGAGGACGGAUAGGAAGAAAUCAAUGGCGAAGUAAAUACAGGUACCAGCGUUGUUCCCUGGUGCUGUGGUGAUUGUCUUGGUACCCAAAGAAAAUGACCAGCUGACGAUGGGAACCAGUCAAGCUUCGGGGGCGAAAUCACAACAUCAACCAUGGUUCUCCUCAGUGAAGAUUCAAGCAGCUGAACGCCAAUACCUUAGGCAUUGACCUAAGGUAGUCUGCUGCCACCACAGGAAGAGCACUAACCUGGGAGUCCAACAGAUCUAUGUUCAAAUCCCACCUCUGCCACUUACUGGCCUAGUGGCUGCAGGAAGUGUUCAUCCCUUCUCGGAGAUGCAGUUUCUUCAUCUGUAGAAUGGAAGUAUCGAUACUUCCUCUUCCUGCCUUGCAUGGCUCUUGUGAUAAGAAAAUGAGAUCAUCUACAUAAA